UACGGAGGGGGCGAGCGUUAUUCGGAAUUAUUGGGCGUAAAGGGCGCGUAGGCGGCCCUGCAAGUCAAAGGUGAAAUCCCUCGGCUCAACUGAGGAACUGCCUUUGAAACUGCGGGGCUUGAGGCCGGGAGGGGGUAGCGGAAUUCCCAGUGUAGAGGUGAAAUUCGUAGAUAUUGGGAAGAACACCGGUGGCGAAGGCGGCUCUCUGGACCGAGACUGACGCUGAGGCGCGAAAGCGUGGGGAGCAAACAGG
rnacentral:rRNA from 1 species